rnacentral:rRNA from 1 species
UACGGAGGAUGCGAGCGUUAUCCGGAUUUAUUGGGUUUAAAGGGUGCGUAGGCGGCUUUUUAAGUCAGCGGUGAAAUUUUGCAGCUUAACUGUAAAAGCGCCGUUGAUACUGUGAGGCUAGGAUUUGGUUGCUGUGGGUGGAAUGUGUGGUGUAGCGGUGAAAUGCUUAGAGAUCACACAGAAUAUCGAUUGCGAAGGCAGCUCACAAAGCCAAGAUUGACGCUGAGGCACGAAAGUGUGGGGAGUCAAACAGGAUUAGA